rnacentral:lncRNA from 7 species
AGAGAACCAUGCAGUACUCAGCUAGUCAAAACAGCUGCAUCUGAGAAGAUAUGUCCUGAAGCAGACUGUGGAAUUGCCAAAUCCUCUUAAUUCACCUUCUGGUGACAUCGAAGGUGGUCCAAGCCUGACUGGGACGGUAUUCUUAUUUUCGCAGAGGAUCGCUAUCGUUUCACUCCAUUUAAAUUCGAGAAUAAGCAUCUCACGACGCCAUGCUCCACUGCAUCGGAACUGUAUGAGCCAGGAGGUCUUGCAGAGAGGGAGAAGCAGAGAGGGAGACACUUUCCAGACUGAGAAGAAAAAGCGACAUUAUCUGUCUUUGCUGUCUCUGGGUUGAAUUACUUGGCUUUUUUUUUCCCAAGAAAUCUGUCGCUUGAAGGGAUCUGUUGUUUUGUGGAUCACAUGGGGAAUUCCAAACAGAAGCAAUCUUCAUGCUACCUGACACUGUAUGAGCUUAGUCAUCCCCGGCAAAUAACUCGUCUUUGAAAGAAGCUUACAUCUCACCUAAGCUUAUUUAUGCGGGCAAUCUUUCCUCAGGUGCUAACACUUGAUUUCUUUUCCUUCAGUCAUUUUUAAAAGUAUCUUUGGCAUGAUGUGUACUAUUGAUUUGUGGUAUUUUUGUUUGGUUAUUUUUUCUUUGUUUAAAGGGCAUCUUUUGUUAGACACAAGUAAACAUGAAACUGAAAAACAAUAAUUAUUGAUUCAACAAAGUGUAAUUUUUGUAAUAAAAUAGCUAAAUAAUUACCGUA